rnacentral:rRNA from 1 species
UUACAUCAGCAGUCAUCUAUGCGGUGAAGUGUGGUUGGCACCGCCUGCCAGGUGCUCACUUGGACAUCCACCAAAACCUAGUGGCUAAUACACGGACGUCAAGGUCUGCCAUGGUGACAUUUGCUGGCAACUCUGCCGACACUGUGUGUGGUGGAUUGCGCCCAGCCGCUGUGAAGACCAGCGCCUGGAAAUGGCAGUGUUCCCUUGGUUGACUCAGGCUGGUCCUACUGGACAGUUGCACUGGCAGAGUGGUGGCCUCUGGCCACACAUCACUUGCUUGGCCGCAAGAACUUCUGACCUAUCAGCUUUGACUGUGGUGUAGUGGACCACAGUGGCAGCUACGGGUAACGGAGAAUCAGGGUUCGAUUCCGGAGAGGGAGCCUGAGAGAUGGCUACCACUACCAAGGUGGGCAGCAGGCGCGCAAAUUGCCCAAUACUGACACAUGUGGUGAGGCAGCAACGAACUGCAGCAAUUCCACCUGUCCUUUGAGACCAGUGGAACUUGGAAUGGAUGCUAUCCAAACACAGUGAUGAGAAUCAACUGGAGGGCAAGUCUGGUGCCAGCAGCUGCGGUAAUUCCAGCUCCAAGUGCGUAUACUGACAUUGCUGCUGUUAAAACACUUGUAGUCAGCCACUGGGUGCAGGUCUGACAGGUGGCUGGCAGGUGCUUGUGGCUCAACUGGCUUCUGGCUGGGUGGGCUGCCUGUGCCUGCUGGAACUCAACCCCUGGCAGUAUGUCCUGCACCCGCAUUCAAGAUGGUGAAUUGCUCUUGCUCCAAGCCUCCUUCAGUGGAGGCCAAGGCGGCUUCACGUCAGAUGCAUGUGAGGGUGCUUUGGGGUCAGCUCCCUGUGAGUGACACCCCUGCCCACCACCAGAGCUCAUCAUCUCUGCCACCGUGGAAAACUCAGUGUGCUCAAAGCAUCCAUCUCUCGGCUGGAUGUCUAUCCAUGGAAUGUCAAAGCAUCGACCAAGUGGGCCUCACAGUUGUGCUGGCCUUGGUGCUCACUCUGGAGAAUGUGGCUCAGCCUCCUGCCUGGUUCCUGCGUGUUGUUCCAAGGCGAAAGGGCCAGUGCUUGUGGGCUUUGCCUGUCGUGCCUGAUGGGAUUGCUCAGGGUGGAAGAUAUUGCAACGCCAGAGGUGAAAUUCUUAGACCGCUGCAAGAUCAACUGCAGCGAAGGCGUUCUGCAAGUGCCUGUCCGUCGAUCAAGAAUGAAAGUGUGGGGAGCAAAGAUGAUCAGACACCGUCGUAGUCCACAACUGUAAACUAUGCCAGCUUGGUGCUGGUGGAGCAAGUACACGGACUCCAUCGGCGCCAUGCCCCCUGCAACGAGAAAUCCAAGCCUUUGGGUUCAGGGGGAAGUACUGUCGCAAGGCUGAAACUUAAAGGAAUUGACGGAAUGGCACCACAAGGCGUGGAGUAUGCGGCUUAAUUUGACUCAACACGGGGAAUGUUACCAGGUCAGGACGUUGCUUGGAUGGACAGAUUGAGAGCUCUUUCUUGAUCCCUUGGAUGGUGGUGCAUGGCCGCUCCUGAUUGGUGGAGUGAUUUGUCUGGUUGAUUCCGAUAACGAGUGAGACAUCUGCCUCCCAAUAGCCUCAGCCUCGCACUUGUAGGGCAGUUUGGCUGCUUCCAGCCAGCUUGCUGGCCUGGGGGCACCAGUUGCUGCCUGAGAGGAUUGAGCCCAGCUUCUCUGAGGUGCUGCGCACGCCACCAAGUGCCCGCAUGCUAGAGCCAACAGCAGGUCUGUGAUGCUCCCAGAUGUCCUGGGCCGCACGCGCACUACAUUGACACAGUGAACGUGUUUUGCCGCUCACUCCGCUGAGCCCCACCUGGAAGUUGGUGGGAAACCAUGUGAGCCUGUGCUGUA